rnacentral:rRNA from 1 species
AACGAACGCUGGCGGCAGGCUUAACACAUGCAAGUCGAACGAGAUCUUCGGAUCUAGUGGCAGACGGGUGAGGAACACGUGGGAACAUCCCUUUCAGUUCGGAAUAACGUUGGGAAACUAACGCUAAUACCGGAUACGUCCUCCGGGAGAAAGAUUUAUCGCUGAAAGAUUGGCCCGCGUCUGAUUAGCUAGUUGGUGAGGUAAUGGCUCACCAAGGCUACGAUCAGUAGCUGAUCUGAGAGGAUGAUCAGCCACAUUGGGACUGAGACACGGCCCAAACUCCUACGGGAGGCAGCAGUGGGGAAUAUUGGACAAUGGGCGCAAGCCUGAUCCAGCCAUGCCGCGUGGGUGAUGACGGCCUUCGGGUUGUAAAGCUCUUUUGUCCGGGAAGAUAAUGACUGUACCGGAAGAAUAAGCCCCGGCAAACUUCGUGCCAGCAGCCGCGGUAA